GCCUGAGCAUUAAUGAGUCAAGUUGUAGACUUUUUUUUAGCAGAUUCUGUAGGUAUUAUUAUGGAGUUAAAGAGAAAAACAAUGAUGAUUGAAUAGAGCUGGGGAAGUCCCAAAGUAACAAAUGAUAGGAGGAGGGUCACAGUUCUAAAGUAAAUUGAUUUAAAGAAUACAUAAAAAAACAAGCAAGCUAAACUUGUUCAAGAUGUUGCCAAUAACACAAACUAAGAGGCUGGGGAAGGUAACCUCAGUGCUAUUGUUCUAGCCCAUUUUAUUGUCAAGGAGGCUUUUGAGAUCAGCAAAGGGCCUAAUCCAGUGGAAAUUAGGAGAGGUGUGAAGUUGGCUGCUGAUCUUUAAAAACAGCCUAAACUUGUCAAAACCCCAGAAGUAAUUGCUCAGUUGCUAUGAUUUCUGCAAAUGGAGAUAGACAUUAGAAACAUUAAUUCUGAUGCAAUAAAAAUGUUUGAAAGAAAGGACAUCAUCACAGUAGAGGAUAGAGAAUCCCUGAGUGAUGAAUUACAAGUUAUCAAAGGCAUAACGCUUAAUACAGAAUAUAUUUCCAUAUAUUUUAUUAACCUUAAAAAGGUCAGAAUGUGGAUUUCAAGAUGUCUAUGUUCUAUUGAAUGAAAAAAAUGUCUAUUGUCCAGUCAAUUGAAGCUACUCUUGAAGUUGCUAAACUGCUCAUGAUGUAAAUGGAAACGCUCUAAGCUCACUGGUUUUAAACAGACUUAAAAAGGCCAUUUUACCAAGGAAGACAUCAUGCCUUUGAAAGGAAAAGGAAAAGGUGACAAAGCUCAAAUUGAAAGAUGUACUCAAGAAGUCACUUAGCAGUUAGUCAUUACAACUAGCAACUAUAAAAACAAAAAGUUAAAUGAAUGACUGGCUAAACUUUCAGAUGUAGAUAUGGUGAAGAAUGGAAAGGCAAGUGAUGUUGAAUUGAAUGAGAAAAAAGAGUCAGGGAUGCUCUAAUGUUACUAAACAGCUGAUGAAGAAGACUUGUCCUUGGAGGGGUUUGUGCUCUGCUUCAGUGCAUCCCAGCAUUUACUUUGUUAAACCCAGCUAAUGAAAAUCAGAAAAUAGGUAUAGAAAUUACUAAAAGGCUACUCAAAAUUUCUGCAAUGACUGCUGCUAUGAGCAUUAGGUGUUGAAAUAUCUUUGAUAGUUGUAUAAAUUAUGCCAAGUUCCUCAGAACUUGGUUAUUGUGUAAUACUCAGAAACUUGGUGAACAUGGUAGACAAGAGAAUCAUUGGUACAAGGAAGGCUAUAAGAACUGCUUUACUGGACACUUCCAGGGGGGCCUCCUUGUUAACUACAGCAGAAGGUAUAGUGACAGAA
rnacentral:lncRNA from 1 species